GUGCGGCGUCGGGGUGGAUGUGGCGUACCGUCAGCACGUCAUGGGGUUUUACGUUACGUGAGGAUAAUUCAACAUGCGUAUACCGUAAUUCAACUCAAUUAUCAGAUUUCGAGGACCAAGUAUCGAGAAAGAGAGAGAAAGAGACAGAAAGAUUUCUUAUUCAAUUUGUUUCAUUAUUUACAACAUUCUUUAUUAUGAGUAGCAUCUGGUUUGAUAUUCUUCCUGGAGAUUACCUGGGCCAUCACGCUCUUCGUACAGAUCUGCGUCAGAAAUGACGAGUCUCUUUGCUCGUGCUACUGGUCGGCAGUGGUGGCGAUAACGA